rnacentral:rRNA from 1 species
UUUGUCCUACGGGAGGCAGCAGUAGGGAAUAUUGCUCAAUGGGGGAAACCCUGAAGCAGCAACGCCGCGUGGAGGAUGAAGGUUUUCGGAUUGUAAACUCCUUUUGUUAGAGAAGAUAAUGACGGUAUCUAACGAAUAAGCACCGGCUAACUCCGUGCCAGCAGCCGCGGUAAUACGGAGGGUGCAAGCGUUACUCGGAAUCACUGGGCGUAAAGAGCGCGGAGGCGGGAUAGCAAGUCAGAUUGGAAAUCCUAUGGCUUAACCAUAGAACUGCAUUUGAAACUGUUAU